AAUGAAGUUGUGCUUCUCGAACGAGAACCAAGUGUUCCAGGUGCAAGCAAACUACCUCCACGAUCAUCUAUCAUUUGAACUUUGCGUUUAGGGGCACUAGCUGCCAAAGCACGUUUUUGCAUGACUCGGCGAUAGUCAUCAUUAAUAACAGGUGAGACAUUGCACUCAUGGGCAACGGUACCAACCAAAGCAGUACUUUUCAUGCUACUAGAUGUCUCUGAUUCUCGGAAAACAUAAGAAUUCCUAACAAACUUAUUCAUUACGCGUAAAUUAUAAAUUUUAGGGACGUCUGCAUUUUCAGGACUGUUUUGAAGAAGUAAUUGUAUUUCAUCAUUCUUGACCCGAACACACCCUAGAUUAGCGGCAUCGUCUUCUGGAAUUGAAUUCCAUUUGUCCAUCAAAAACUUGGGAAUUUUAACUAACCACACUCUUGAGCCAAUUUGACCCAAAUCUAAAUCACCAGCAUCGUCUUCAUAGCGGUCAUCCUCCUCAGUUCGAACCGUCGGUUUUUCUUCAGACAUUUUAAAUCCUUCAAAAUAGUGAAAAUUACUCAAGCAGUUUCCACUAUUCAAUGGUUCUUUCUUUAACAAGUUAAGAGAAAGAAGCAUUGAUGUCGCCUCCCUAAAGCAACUUUGAUUUACG